AUUGAACGCUGGCGGCAGGCUUAACACAUGCAAGUCGAGCGGAGAUGAGGUGCUUGCACCUUAUCUUAGCGGCGGACGGGUGAGUAAUGCUUAGGAAUCUGCCAUUUAGUGGGGGACAACAUUCCGAAAGGAAUGCUAAUACCGCAUACGUCCUACGGGAGAAAGCAGGGGAUCUUCGGACCUUGCGCUAAAUGAUAAGCCUAAGUCGGAUUAGCUAGUUGGUGGGGUAAAGGCCUACCAAGGCGACGAUCUGUAGCGGGUCUGAGAGGAUGAUCCGCCACACUGGGACUGAGACACGGCCCAGACUCCUACGGGAGGCAGCAGUGGGGAAUAUUGGACAAUGGGCGGAAGCCUGAUCCAGCCAUGCCGCGUGUGUGAAGAAGGCCUUUUGGUUGUAAAGCACUUUAAGCGAGGAGGAGGCUACCUAGAUUAAUACUCUGGGAUAGUGGACGUUACUCGCAGAAUAAGCACCGGCUAACUCUGUGCCAGCCGCCGCGGUAACAC
rnacentral:rRNA from 1 species